GACGAACGCUGGCGGCGUGCCUAAUACAUGCAAGUCGAGCGCUGAAAGUAGGUACUUGUUCCACCUGCGUGAGCAGCGAACGGGUGAGUAACGCGUGGGGAACCUGCCUUUGAGCGGGGGACAACUUCUGGAAACGAAUGCUAAUACCGCAUAAAAAAUUUAAACACAAGGUUUAAGAUUGAAAGACGCUAUUGCAUCACUUAAUGAUGAGCUCGCGUUGUAUUAGGCAGUUGGUGAGGGUAACGCUCAACAAGGCGAUGAUACCUAACCCACCUGGGAGGGGUGUCGGCCAAAAUGGGACUGGGACACGGCCCCAACUCCUUCGGGGGGCAGCAGGAGGGGAUCUUCGGCCAUGGAGGAAAGUCUGACCGAACAACGCCGGGUGGGUGAAGGAGGUUUUCGGGUCGGAAAACUCUGUUGAUAGGGAAGAACGUUGGGGAGAGUUAAAAGCGCAUCAAUUGACGGUAACUACCCAGAAAGGGACGGCUAACUACGUG
rnacentral:rRNA from 1 species